rnacentral:lncRNA from 1 species
UCUGCUUCUGCUUCCAUCAGCUACUAGAUGAAGGCUCUAGGAUGGCAUAUAAGAACACUGAUGCGCUCUGGAAAGAGUAACUCCCUGUUUCUUUCACUUGGAGAUCUGAAGUACGCCUGGCAGACAGACUGAUUGCAGCAAGAGAAGCAGCUUCAAUGCCAGAUGGAAAGGAAACAAUGUGAGACUUUUUGCUUGUGUUUCUUUAAGCAGAGUGUUACAGACCUUCUGGAUCCAUGAGGGACUCAGUGAAGGUGUUCAUCGACACAUUCAGAAUCUGAAUGCUUUGCUAUUGCCUUCCAUAUGGGGACACCUGGGAAAAUGACUUACCAUUGAUCAUUUGUCAAAGGAAGAGAAGAAAGAAAGGACACUAAUGUUUACUUAACAUCCACUAUGUGCCAGACACUAUGCUAGUAGACUUUUUAUCAAAUUAAGUACCAUUCUAACAAUGAUAAAUUCUUCACUGCUAAGGCAAGUUUUUUACUAGGAUGUAUGAUUCCCUAACAUUAUUUGGAUAUUCCAAUCCCUGCAUCCUACCCAGGCAACUUAAGAAUCUCAAUUAGAGAUGAACAAGGGAAGUAAGAUGAAACCUGCUAGAAAUGAAAACACUAAUCCAGCAGCCACCUCUGAAUAACAUGAAUAUAACGGGCUAUAAAUUAAUGAUCACUUCCUGAAAAAUUGUGUACAUUCCAGCAAUAUGGCAUAGCAGAAAUGUUUUGGGGAAAAUACUUGGUUUCAAGCCACAGCCCCAUCACCCACAGACUAUCUGAGAGUCACCAGGGCUCCUCUCUGGGACUCAGUUUCUCUACAUGAAUAUAAGCUGUGCUUUGUUAGCUUUCUGUUGAACAAGUAGAAGAGAUAACAAAGUUUUACUAGAUAAGUGCCUGUGAAGAUAGCAGUGGUCUGAGCCUCCAGCUUCCAUCAAAGUCUGUUGUUUUCAUUGUUUGGGAGUGGGCAGUAGGCAGGAUAAAGAGUUUAGACAGAAAAUAUUCCAGUUAAAGAACAAUUAUUUUGUCACAGCACUUUAAAAAUAUUUAAUUAAAUGAGCUUUAAAUUCUGUCCUAAGUCUGAGUUCUGUGAUUCUAUGGGUUUCAGAAAUUGGAUUGCCAAUUCCUAGUCUGAAAACAAAACAGAAUAAAAAACAAAAACAAAAAAACCAAACAG